UACGGAGGGUGCGAGCGUUGUCCGGAAUCACUGGGCGUAAAGGGCGCGUAGGUGGCGGUCCAAGUCAACGGUGAAAGCUCGGGGCUCAACCCCGAGUCGGCCGUCGAUACUGGGUUGCUUGAGCACUGUAGAGGCAGAUGGAAUUCCGGGUGUAGCGGUGGAAUGCGUAGAGAUCCGGAAGAACACCGGUGGCGAAGGCGGUCUGCUGGGCAGUAGCUGACACUGAGGCGCGGACAGCGUGGGGAGCAAACAGG
rnacentral:rRNA from 1 species